CCUACGGGUGGCUGCAGUGGGGAAUAUUGGACAAUGGGGGGAACCCUGAUCCAGCCAUGCCGCGUGUGUGAAGAAGGCCCUCGGGUUGUAAAGCACUUUCAGUGAGGAAGAACGCCUGGUGGUUAAUACCCAUCAGGAAAGACAUCACUCACAGAAGAAGCACCGGCUGACUCCGUGCCAGCAGCCGCGGUAAUACGGAGGGUGCGAGCGUUAAUCGGAAUUACUGGGCGUAAAGCGCGCGUAGGUGGCUUGAUAAGCCGGUUGUGAAAGCCCCGGGCUCAACCUGGGAACGGCAUCCGGAACUGUCAAGCUAGAGUGCAGGAGAGGAAGGUAGAAUUCCCGGUGUAGCGGUGAAAUGCGUAGAGAUCGGGAGGAAUACCAGUGGCGAAGGCGGCCUUCUGGACUGACACUGACACUGAGGUGCGAAAGCGUGGGUAGCAAACAGGAUUAGAUACCCCAGUAGUC
rnacentral:rRNA from 1 species